rnacentral:rRNA from 1 species
AGAGUUUGAUCAUGGCUCAGGAUGAACGCUGGCGGCGUGCCUAACACAUGCAAGUCGAGCGAUCUUCUUCGGAAGAGAGCGGCGGACGGGUGAGUAACGCGUGGGUAACCUGCCUCAUACACAUGGAUAACAUACCGAAAGGUAUGCUAAUACAAGAUGAUAUAAGAGAUUCGCAUGGAUUUCUUAUCAAAGCUCCGGCGGUAUGAGAUGGACCCGCGUCUGAUUAGCUAGUUGGUAAGGUAACGGCUUACCAAGGCGACGAUCAGUAGCCGACCUGAGAGGGUGAUCGGCCACAUUGGAACUGAGACACGGUCCAAACUCCUACGGGAGGCAGCAGUGGGGAAUAUUGCACAAUGGGCGAAAGCCUGAUGCAGCAACGCCGCGUGAGCGAUGAAGGCCUUCGGGUCGUAAAGCUCUGUCCUCAAGGAAGAUAAUGACGGUACUUGAGGAGGAAGCCCCGGCUAACUACGUGCCAGCAGCCGCGGUAAUACGUAGGGGGCUAGCGUUAUCCGGAUUUACUGGGCGUAAAGGGUGCGUAGGUGGUUUCUUAAGUCAGGAGUGAAAGGCUACGGCUCAACCGUAGUAAGCUCUUGAAACUGGGAAACUUGAGUGCAGGAGAGGAAAGUGGAAUUCCUAGUGUAGCGGUGAAACGCGUAGAUAUUAGGAGGAACACCAGUAGCGAAGGCGGCUUUCUGGACUGUAACUGACACUGAGGCACGAAAGCGUGGGGAGCAAACAGGAUUAGAUACCCUGGUAGUCCACGCCGUAAACGAUGAGUACUAGGUGUCGGGGGUUACCCCCCUCGGUGCCGCAGCU